CGAGGAAAUAAUUGUUCAAUAUUAAUCUUGUUUUAUUUACUACUUUGCUGUCGCUAGUCUCCGCGCACGCUAAUUAUAAGCCAGACAAAUAGCCAAGUGGCCAAGUCACCAGAAGUUUCUCAAGAUACGUUCACUUUAAAUGGGUAAACGAAGAAAAGCGAACUUAAGAAUACGACAUUUAACGUCUCACUAGAACGCAACAACGACAACAUUUGUGCGCGUUGUGUUCUGGCUGUUCAACGGUGUCGCACAAAGCGGAACUGUUGUAGGUCGAGGCUGCGCCGUCCGUCCAUCCACCGGUGUCACACAGGUCACGUGACCAGCAGAGGAGGAGAAUCGCGCUGGGGGAGGAGGCAACCAAUACGAGGCCGUGCUGGGUGCGAGGAGGAGAGGCGAUGGGUAUAAGAGAAGGUGUUUUCUGUGUGGCGCGCCCUUUCGGUGUUACGCCGUGCAAUCAUUUCACUGAACCAAUGUGCGGACCUCCAUUCAUCCGUCUGUCACACACGGAAGUAAACAAGCAAAAAUUGCCGCCAAGAUCUUUUGUGGUGACUUCAUACUGCUUUCAUUACGACACAGUUGCAGUGCUUUUAUUGGAAAUAGAUUUUUACGAAUUUCAAGAA